ACCUUCGGGCCUCUUGCCAUCGGAUGUGCCCAGAUGGGAUUAGCUAGUAGGUGGGGUAACGGCUCACCUAGGCGACGAUCCCUAGCUGGUCUGAGAGGAUGACCAGCCACACUGGAACUGAGACACGGUCCAGACUCCUACGGGAGGCAGCAGUGGGGAAUAUUGCACAAUGGGCGCAAGCCUGAUGCAGCCAUGCCGCGUGUAUGAAGAAGGCCUUCGGGUUGUAAAGUACUUUCAGCGGGGAGGAAGGGAGUAAAGUUAAUACCUUUGCUCAUUGACGUUACCCGCAGAAGAAGCACCGGCUAACUCCGUGCCAGCAGCCGCGGUAAUACGGAGGGUGCAAGCGUUAAUCGGAAUUACUGGGCGUAAAGCGCACGCAGGCGGUUUGUUAAGUCAGA
rnacentral:rRNA from 1 species